GAUGAACGCUGGCGGCGUGCUUAACACAUGCAAGUCGAACGAAGAUGCCGGAGUGCUUGCACUUUGGCGGACUGAGUGGCGGACGGGUGAGUAAUGCGUGGGUAACCUGCCUUAUACAGGAGGAUAACAGUUGGAAACGACUGCUAAUACCGCAUAAGCGCACGGUAUCGCAUGAUACAGUGUGAAAAACUCCGGUGGUAUAAGAUGGACCCGCGUCUGAUUAGCUUGUUGGUGAGGUAACGGCCCACCAAGGCGACGAUCAGUAGCCGGCCUGAGAGGGUGAACGGCCACAUUGGGACUGAGACACGGCCCAAACCCCUACGGGAGGCAGCAGUGGGGAAUAUUGCACAAUGGGGGAAACCCUGAUGCAGCGACGCCGCGUGAGUGAUGAAGUAUUUCGGUAUGUAAAACUCUAUCAGCAGGGAAGAUAAUGACGGUACCUGACUAAGAAGCACCGGCUAAAUACGUG
rnacentral:rRNA from 1 species